GACGAACGCUGGCGGCGCGCCUAACACAUGCAAGUCGAGGGGCAGCAUUUUAGUUUGCUUGCAAACUGAAGAUGGCGACCGGCGCACGGGUGAGUAACACGUAUCCAACCUGCCGAUAACUCCGGGAUAGCCUUUCGAAAGAAAGAUUAAUACCGGAUAGUAUACGAAUAUCGCAUGAUAUUUUUAUUAAAGAAUUUCGGUUAUCGAUGGGGAUGCGUUCCAUUAGUUUGUUGGCGGGGUAACGGCCCACCAAGACUACGAUGGAUAGGGGUUCUGAGAGGAAGGUCCCCCACAUUGGAACUGAGACACGGUCCAAACUCCUACGGGAGGCAGCAGUGAGGAAUAUUGGUCAAUGGGCGCGAGCCUGAACCAGCCAAGUAGCGUGAAGGAUGAAGGCUCUAUGGGUCGUAAACUUCUUUUAUAUGGGAAUAAAGUUUUCCACGUGUGGAAUUUUGUAUGUACCAUAUGAAUAAGGAUCGGCUAACUCCGUGCCAGCAGCCGCGGUAAUACGGAGGAUCCGAGCGUUAUCCGGAUUUAUUGGGUUUAAAGGGAGCGUAGGUGGAUUGUUAAGUCAGUUGUGAAAGUUUGCGGCUCAACCGUAAAAUUGCAGUUGAAACUGGCAGUCUUGAGUACAGUAGAGGUGGGCGGAAUUCGUGGUGUAGCGGUGAAAUGCUUAGAUAUCACGAAGAACUCCGAUUGCGAAGGCAGCUCACUAGACUGUCACUGACACUGAUGCUCGAAAGUGUGGGUAUCAAACAGGAUUAGAUACCCUGGUAGUCCACACAGUAAACGAUGAAUACUCGCUGUUUGCGAUAUACAGUAAGCGGCCAAGCGAAAGCAUUAAGUAUUCCACCUGGGGAGUACGCCGGCAACGGUGAAACUCAAAGGAAUUGACGGGGGCCCGCACAAGCGGAGGAACAUGUGGUUUAAUUCGAUGAUACGCGAGGAACCUUACCCGGGCUUAAAUUGCAACAGAAUAUAUUGGAAACAGUAUAGCCGUAAGGCUGUUGUGAAGGUGCUGCAUGGUUGUCGUCAGCUCGUGCCGUGAGGUGUCGGCUUAAGUGCCAUAACGAGCGCAACCCUUAUCUUUAGUUACUAACAGGUGAUGCUGAGGACUCUAGAGAGACUGCCGUCGUAAGAUGUGAGGAAGGUGGGGAUGACGUCAAAUCAGCACGGCCCUUACGUCCGGGGCUACACACGUGUUACAAUGGGGGGUACAGAAGGCGGCUACCUGGUGACAGGAUGCUAAUCCCAAAAACCUCUCUCAGUUCGGAUCGAAGUCUGCAACCCGACUUCGUGAAGCUGGAUUCGCUAGUAAUCGCGCAUCAGCCAUGGCGCGGUGAAUACGUUCCCGGGCCU
rnacentral:rRNA from 1 species